rnacentral:rRNA from 1 species
GACGAACGCUGGCGGCGUGCUAUACAUGCAAGUAGAACGCUGAAGGGAGAGCUUGCUCUUCUGGAUGAGUUGCGAACGGGUGAGUACGCGUAGGUAACCUGCCUGGUAGCGGGGGAUAACUAUUGGAAACGAUAGCUAAUACCGCAUAACAUUGACUAUUGCAUGAUAGUCAAUUGAAAGGUGCAAUUGCACCACUACCAGAUGGACCUGCGUUGUAUUAGCUAGUUGGUGGGGUAACGGCUCACCAAGGCGACGAUACAUAGCCGACCUGAGAGGGUGAUCGGCCACACUGGGACUGAGACACGGCCCAGACUCCUACAGGAGGCAGCAGUAGGGAAUCUUCGGCAAUGGACGGAAGUCUGACCGAGCAACGCCGCGUGAGUGAAGAAGGUUUUCGGAUCGUAAAGCUCUGUUGUAAGAGAAGAACGAGUGUGAGAGUGGAAAGUUCACACUGAUGACGGUAUCUUACCAGAAA